rnacentral:rRNA from 1 species
UACGUAGGGUGCGAGCGUUAAUCGGAAUUACUGGGCGUAAAGGGCGCGUAGGCGGCAAGGCAAGUCAGGUGUGAAAGCCCCGAGCUUAACUCGGGAAUUGCAUCUGAAACUGCUGUGCUUGAGUUCUGGAGGGGGUAGUGGAAUUCCCAGUGUAGCGGUGAAAUGCGUAGAUAUUGGGAGGAACACCUGCGGCGAAGGCGGCUACCUGGACAGAAACUGACGCUGAGGCGCGAAAGCUAGGGGAGCGAACGGG